UACGGGGGGGGCAAGCGUUGUUCGGAAUUACUGGGCGUAAAGGGCUCGUAGGCGGCCAACUAAGUCAGACGUGAAACCCCCAGGCUCAACCUGGGAACUGCGUCUGAUACUGGAUGGCUUGAAUUCGGGAGAGGGAUGCAGAAUUCCAGGUGUAGCGGUGAAAUGCGUAGAUAUCGGGAAGAACACCCGUGGCGAAGGCGGCUCUCUGGGACGGUACUGACGCUGAGACGCGAAAGCGUGGGGAGCGAACAGG
rnacentral:rRNA from 1 species